rnacentral:rRNA from 1 species
CCUACGGGUGGCAGCAGUGAGGAAUAUUGGUCAAUGGGCGCGAGCCUGAACCAGCCAAGUAGCGUGAAGGAUGACUGCCCUACGGGUUGUAAACUUCUUUUAUAAAGGAAUAAAGUGAGGCACGUGUGCCUUUUUGUAUGUACUUUAUGAAUAAGGAUCGGCUAACUCCGUGCCAGCAGCCGCGGUAAUGCGGAGGAACCGAGCGUUAUCCGGAUUUAUUGGGUUUAAAGGGAGCGGAGAGGGGUUGUUAAGGCAGUUGUGAAAGUUUGCGGCUCAAACGUAAAAUUGCAAUUGAUACUGGCAUUCGUUAGUACAGUUGAGGUAGGCGGAAUUCGUGGUGUAGCGGUGAAAUGCUU